rnacentral:tRNA from 1 species
GCCUGGGUGGCUCAGUUGGUUGAGCGUCUGACUCUGUUUCACCUCAUGAUCAUGAUGAUGAUCUCACAGUUUGUGGGUUCAAGCCCCACAUCAGGCU